UAACGAGCGCAACCCCUACCUUAGUUGCCAUCAGGUAAUGCUGGGGACUCUAAAGGAACUGCCUACGCAAGUAGUGAGGAAGCGGGGAUGACGUCAAAUCAGCACGGCCCUUACGUCCAGGGCUACACACGUGCUACAAUGGCCGAUACAGAGGGCAGCUACCUGGUGACAGGAUGCAAAUCUCCAAAGUCGGUCUCAGUUCGGAUCGGAGUCUGCAACCCGACUCCGUGAAGUUGGAUUCGCUAGUAAUCGCGCAUCAGCCAUGGCGCGGUGAAUACGUUCCCGGGCCUU
rnacentral:rRNA from 1 species